rnacentral:lncRNA from 1 species
GAACAUUGGUUAUUCUCAAACCCUACUCUUACCAGAAACAUUAUUUGUUUCUAUGUAUAGUCCAAUCUCAUUCACUUUCAUUAUCAACAAUUCAAAUACUCAAGAACCAUGACAAACAGUAGAAAGAUUGAGUAUGUAGAUUAACAAAGGAUUUUAGUGGCUGUGGAUGAGAGUAAGGAAAGCAUGUUUGCGCUUUCUUGGUGCAUCACAUAUCUUAUUCCUGACACUACAAAUGUUAAACUAGUUCUGCUCUAUCUAUGCCAAACCAACUCCUGCUAUACACUCUUUCAUUGCAACAGGUUGGUUUUACUCUCUUCUGAUUCAGUUAUAAAACUUGUUUGUGUUGUUUGAGGUAAAUGAUUGAGUUUUGUUUCCAUAUUUUGACUAAUUUCAUUGUUGUGAUUUCAUGUUUAAGAAGCUGUUGCGUCCUUAAAGAAGAAACGACUUGUAGUAGGUACCAUCGACAUUGACACUGCGAUUCUGCAAAUAAUUUUAAAAAAUAAAUAAAUUAAAACCGAGCGUAUCCUGUUAGUGAGGAAACCGACUAAUAUGCAUAAACAACUAUGUUGUUGUCAUAGAAAAAGUGAGAAACAUCCCUCCAAACAGUUACAAACUAGGGUGGCAUAUAGAGACAAGAGAGGAAAGAGAUGAAACCAAAAAAAAAUGGAGACCUACCGGAGCAGUACAUUAUUCCAUAUUUUUAAGUGACAGAAAUCCCAACUGUCUCGGUCAUAGCAUGUUACAACUGUUUCUAGGUAUUAUCACAACCAGACACUAAUAAGAGAUAGCUACCUAAUGAUGAGGCCAUCUUUAUCUUAUUAUGCCAUUUCGUAUUCUAAGGGAUCAUUAAAUUAUGCCUCGUGGCAGCAGCUUCUCCAUACGGUUUCAUGCUUACCUUAAGUCUCUAUAUCGCAUUAGAAACACAUAAAUACUCUAGAGGAAGAGGAAGAUGUUUCAUAUACUCGACCAUGCUUUUGUUGGGUAUUAGCCUCGUUUCUUACGCGAAGAAAGGCACAAAUCUCAUAUGUGUCUCACAUUACUUAAAAAACAGUGGAGAAAAGGUGGAGAUUGACCGAUUAAUCUAUCUUGAAUAUUUUUUUAAAAAUAACGUAAUAUUUUAAAAAAUAUUAAAAUAAUCAUAUUUUAAAUAAAAAUUCCAACAUAAAAGGAGUAGCCAAAGGGUAUGUUAUAUUUUAAAAAUAACCAAAUAACAAGUACAAAAAGUAUGAGAAAAUUUCUAUUAAGGAAUUUUAGUAAGAAAUUUGGAAAUGUGUUGUUUGUGAGAGAGAAUGUUUUUAAGUAUUUGUAUCAUUUAUUUAUUAUAAAUUUUAAUGUAUUUUCACAUUAUUUUUACUAAACCCAAUAAAUCUAAGGUUUUUUUAUCGAGAAAACCCAGUUUUUCAAGGAAAUUUUCAAAAUACCCCUAGUUUCAAAAAAAAUCCCAAAAUAUCCCACUUUUAGGAGGAGUCUCCAAUUGAAUUGGCGACUCCUCUUAAAAUUUGAAUGGAGGCGCCAAUCCAAUUGGCGCCUAUGUGUAGGUUUUAAGAGGAGUCUCCAAUUCAAUUGGCGACUCCUUCAUAAAAGUCUCAAAUGAUAAAACCUCCAACAUGAAAGUUGUAGAUCUUUUCAAGACAAUGAAUUUGGACAUAAAUUUUGCAUCAUUUGGAUUUUUUAUGAGAAAGUUAUGGGCACUUGAAGUUGGACUUCUGAUUUUUUCAACUAUUAUCUGACCUAUAAUGUUUUGUAUUAUCUUUUCAAGACAAUGAAUUUGGACAUAAAUUUUGCAUCAUUUGGAUUUUUUAUGAGAAAGUUAUGGGCACUUGAAGUUGGACUUCUGAUUUUUUCAACUAUUAUCUGACCUAUAAUGUUUUGUAUUAUCCCAUGUGUUUAUUUUAGAAUUAUGAAAUUUUGUCCAACAUAACAAUUGAAGUAGACAUCUCAAAAUUUCCAAUGCACUUGGUCCCACCUCAAAAUCAUAAAAAAUGAAGGAGUUAGGUCCUUGGGAAGUUGACCCAAAAUUAGGGUUUUAGUCAAAACAUGUGUAUGUGAAUUUUACCAAAAUGGACCAACUUCAAGCCCUUCUGUUUGAAUGAUAAAAGCCUUAAAUGACAAAACCUUCAACAUAAAAGUUGUAGAUCUUUUCAAGACAAUGAAUUUGGACUUGAAUUUUGCAUCAUUUGCAUUUUGUAUGAGAAAGUUAUGGGCACUUGAAGUUGGACUUUUUCACAUUUCAAUUGUUAUGUGACCUAUAAUGUUUUGUAUUAUCAGAUGUGUUUCUUUUAGAAUUAUGAAAUUUUGUCCAACAUAACAAGUGAAGUAGACAUCUCAAACUUUCCAAUUCACUUAGUCCCACCUCAAAAGAAUAAAAAAUGAGUGCGUUAGGUCCUUGGGAAGUUGACCCAAAAUUAGGGUUUUAGUCAAAACAUGUGUAUGUGAGUUUUGCCAAAAUAGAGUUUACACAAAGAAACCUAAAGUUUGGAGUUUACACAAAGAUAAAUUUGAUAUAAUACAACUUGAUAUUAAUAAAGUUUGGAGUUUACACAAAGAAACCUAAUGGUGAUGACCGGGAUCACCUAACCGACCUCCGGUCCACAUCCCCUAGCUACCCUAACCAUUUGCCCUAACCCACGUUGACGAUUCUGCACCGGUGUUUGUUCAUCUGAGGGGCCAGGAGCGUCACUACCAACUACAGGAGAAGGUCCAUUGAUGUAUUCAGACAACUCAGCAUAGUCUUCAGUAUGCAAUGAUGGUGUACCGCCGUAGCUGAGCUCAUGACCCAUGCCAGAGAAGUUGGGAUGUGGUUGACUCAUGGAUGGGCGACCGGGACGGUUGAAGUCAACUCAGCAUAGUCUUCAGUAUGCAAUGAUGGUGUACCGCCGUAGCUGAGCUCAUGACCCAUGCCAGAGAAGUUGGGAUGUGGUUGACUCAUGGAUGGGCGACCGGGACGGUUGAAGGGAGACAUGAGUGUGAAUGAUGCGUCUAGGAACAGUUGGAAAGGUUGUUGGGGUGUUUGGUAGAGAUAGGGUUGUGGGAUGUUUUGGUUUUGUGAUGUUUGGGCUUCUUGGCUACGGUAGGAGGAGGGGGGUUGAUGUUUUGACUAAGGCGACUUUGGUAGGGUGAUGGUGUGGGUGCGAAGCGAUGUUGGGUCUCAGGUUGAUGGUCAAUUUGUUGGUGGUGGUAUGGAGUAUGUUCUUGGUAUUGGGGUUGGGUGAAUGACAUGUUUUGGUUGUAUGUUUGUGUGUGUGUGGAACGGAAAGUUUGACGGAUAUGGGGUUGUGAGUAACCGGGCUGAGAAUGUUGUUGGGGGUUAGAUGUUGAUCCUUCUUAUGUGUAACUUUCCUGGCAUGGGUCGUAGAGGUACAUAUCUUCGGCGAUGAAUUGAAAACCAACCGAUCUAUACCAAGCCAUAUAAGUACGACUUGGUUUUACCUCAUUUGGCAUGACUGCGUCAGUUAAGACAUGGUCAUGACGGUGCUUCCACUUGCGACACUCCGAUCUUGCGAAGUUUUGCCAAGGGUUGAAGUUCCAUUGUUCGUUCACUUUACGCAUAUGCCAUUCUCCUAGGCUAGCUGGGGGAUCUGGGAUAUUCUGGACCAUACCGAACUGCAGCUUCACACGAUCGGUGUUGUGCAUCUCCGCAGUUGUGAAUUGUAUUAUCGGUGUGCAUGUUGUCCAUACGGUUGCAUCUUCAGCGUUGACCUCAUGAUCCAGAUUAAGGUAUGGAUGCCAAAUGAACUGAAAUGUUAAAGAAGAUAGGAUUAUAAUGAAUGUAGAAAAAGUUAACAUAAUAUAACGAAAUAAUUAAGUUAUUUUCCUUACGUCUGUCGGUCGAAGGUGAUCCAACAGGUUGCGAUACUGAGUAAUACAGUGUCUCGGACAUCUGUUGUAACUCAUACCACGUGCCGACCAUCUACACCAAAAAGUUAAAAAAAAAUAGUUUGAGGUAAUAAAAUUUAAGGAAGUAAGUAAAGAUAUAGCAAUUUAAACAACUUACUUUUGUGCAUAUGGAAAAGUGAAAGGGUUGUUAUUGACCAGUGUUAGAGACGGUAGUCUUGACCAACCCCAUGCUUGUAGCAAAACAGCACAUCCAGAAAAUGUAGAUGUGUCUUUGUGGGAGUUUUUGCACAACGAACUAUAGAGAUAGGCUAGACAAGCAGAUCCCCAACUGUAACUUCCUAUUCUAUCUACAUGUCUAAGUAGAGGUAAGUACAUAAUAUGCAUGCUAGAACCACUACCUUCGGGAAAUAAAAAGGAUCCUAUUAACAACAUAAUGUAACACCUAGUUUUUAUUAUUCGAGCAUCUUCGGUAGAAUGCUCAUCUAAGUAUAAACUAUUAUAAUAUGACUUUAGGCGUGAGAGUAGUAUACCUUGACCUCUAGCAUUAUCAUCUAACAAAUCAGUGUCUAAGAGCUCCAUGCAAAUUGAAUUUGCAUAGUUGGUCUUACCAUUAACANNNNNNNNNNNNNNNNNNNNNNNNNNNNNNNNNNNNNNNNNNNNNNNNNNNNNNNNNNNNNNNNNNNNNNNNNNNNNNNUAUAAUAGAAAGAAUAAAACACUUGACUAAGUUGGUAUGUCAAAAUAAAAUGGGGUUGGUGAAGAUGAAAGAUAAAAAGUUAACAAAAGAAAAAACUUACAUAUGUUGCGAUGUUUGCAACUGUUCCUCUAUGUGUUUCGCCCAUUGUGAGUAAAGACAUAUUGUUGGGGAGUUGGUGUAGAUGAAACUAGAAGAUGUUGUUGAAGAUGAAAUUGUAAAAGAAGUAUUGUAGAGGAAGUAGUGAGAGUGAUAGUGUGGAAGAAGUGUUGAAGGAGUGGAUGUAUUUAUAGGCAAAUGGAUGGGAGCAUGAAAAUUUGGGUUUGCAUGGUGUCUCCAUAUGAAUUGGCGACCAUGUACAAUCCUUAAGAGGGGUCUCCAUUCAAAUUGGCGCCUCCAUAGGGACAUGCAUGCAAGGCUAGGUCUGAAUGCUUGGUUUCGAGGUCUGAAUGCAUGGUGUCUCCACUUGAAUUGGCGACCAUGUACAAGGAUUAAGUGGACGCGCCAAUCCAUUUGGAGACACCAUCUGCAUGUCUGACAUGUGGCUGUCUUGUCUCCUGCAUGCUGAACAAGUCACUUGUUGAUGACUUGCAUGGUUGACACAUCAUCUUUGACUAUCUUACAUGUUCGACACGUGGCUGUCUUGUCUCCUGCAUGCUGAAGAGUCACUUCUUGAUAGCUUGCAUGAUUGACACAUCAUCUCAGACUAUCUUGCAUGACUGACACAUCAUCUCAGACUAUCUUACGUGUCCGACACGUCAUCUCAGACUAGCUUGCAUGUCCGACACAUCAUCUCAGAACUAGCUAGCAUGUGAGACACUGAUACCAUCUAUUUAAAUGUCUUACUAUCAACAUCCAAGACACUUCACUCACAUUCAUCUGCAGUAAGAAAAUAGUUUUCAUCUCCAUAAUGUCAUCUUCAUCAUUAUACAGUGUCAACGUUCACUGCAACGGUGAAACUUUCGAGUCUGAGCUUCAUGGUUUUUGUUUUCGAAACACUGAUACCAUUAGAAUCACGAUCAAGAGAAAUGCAACCUUUUUGCAUUUGAAAAAAAGAAUACAAUCCUUUAUAGGAUCGGGUAUUGUGUCAAAGAUCACAUAUCAAAAUCCAAUAUUUUUUUAGAAUAGUCAAUGCAAGUAUUUCCCCCUUAAGGUACGAGACGAUGAAGAUGUUGAAUACAUGUUUGUUAGUCAUGAACAUUCAAGCAAUAACUGUAUCGAGUUGUAAAUUACUAUACAACCAUGUAUACCAUCUCAACAGUCUCAACUAACCGAUCAGGAUGAAGCUGGUGAAGAUGAUGCACAAUGGUCAGAUGAACUCAACCCAGAAGCAGAAGUAGAAGUCGACGUUAUUGAUGAAGAAGAAGAGGAGACCGAGAUACAAGUUGAUCACAUGCUGAACAACGACGAUGAAGAUGAUGAUCAACCACCACCAAUACCUCCUAGUCAUGUCUACAAUCCGCCUCAACAUAUGACAAAUAUGGAUCUUCACGACGAUGAAACAUCCAACAGUGUCUUCUAUAAUCCGUAUCCGAGAUCAGAAGGCGAAUUAAAGGUGUGAGACAUGUUUCGUACCAAAGAAGAAUGUGUUUUGGCAAUCAAAAAAUUCCACAUGAACAACUCUGCUGACUUUACAGUGAAACGCACUAAUUCUAGAAGGUAUGUUAUCGAAUGUCAUAACAUGCUUUUUAAGUUUCGUUUGGCUGCGUCUUACAAGAAGAAAAACGACUCUUGGGAGAUUGCUUCAAUAAACUCACCACACAGUUGCAUUGCAACUAACGUUGAACAAGAUCACCGUAAACUGAGCACAUCUUUGAUAUGUCAAGACAUUCUUCCAUUGGUAAAUAAAGACCCAUCAGUGAAGGUGAGUAUAAUUAUAUCCCAUAUCAGAACAACAUAUAAUUAUACUCCAUCUUACAAGAAAGCAUGGAUUGCGAGGACAAAGGUUGUUGAACAGGUUUUCGGCAACUGGGAGGAUUCAUUCAAGGAAUUGCCACGGUUUUUAUGGGCACUAAAAACAUAUGUCCCAGGAACUGUGGCAAUUAUGGAGACAGUGCCAACAAUGAUGCCAGACGGAACCUGUGUUACAGGUAAUAGAAUAUUUCACCGUCUCUUUUGGGAAUUUGACCUGUGCAUCAAAGGUUUCGCAUUCUGCAAACCUAUUAUUCAAAUUGAUGGCACUUGGUUAUACGGAAAAUACAAGGGUACUUUGCUCAUGGCGGUUGGACAAGACGGUAACAACAAUGUCUUUCCCAUUGCCUUUACUCUUGUUGAAGGUGAAACGGCUGGUGGAUGGGGUUUCUUUCUUCGACAUCUCAGAACGCAUGUGGCUCCACAAGCCAAUCUCUGUUUGAUUUUUGAUAGACAUGCUGCCAUUGAGAGUGCCUACAACAACCAUGACAACGGAUGGCAUGAUACUCCUUCUACACAUGUCUACUGUAUCAGACACAUUGCACAAAACUUCAUGCGUGCUAUAAAAGAUAAGAAUCUUCGCAAGAAGGUGGUGAAUGCUGGGUAUGCUUUAACUCAACCGUCAUUUCAAUAUUUAUCAGCUGUUUUGUACUGAUGUUUGUUCGUGAAAACUCGUUUAACCAAGAACUUAAUGAUAUUAACUGAUUGAAUGUUACAGAAAUACAUGUUACAAAAAAGCAUGUAACUUAAGACUAGAUGAUGCCUCUUGAUUGGGACCAUUUAGUUUUUUGUUGUGUCCUGGUUGACAGACAGAUACUACAUAAUCUUAUCAUUUUAUUUGUGAAAUCCUCUGUUCUGAUAUGUGUCUCUGUUUGGACCUUCCUUUCUUCUUUUCUACCAUCUCUUUAUGUGACCAACAAUAUCUCUUCUAUGGAGCCAGUAAUCCUGCCAUUGGUAGUACUGAGAAGCUUUGAGUAUGAUACAUUCAGAUGGUGUUGGCCUUGUACCAAUUCAGAUAAUGGUGUUGUAAGUGUCUUGACGAGUAUAAGCGGAUUGCUGCAUGACAUGGAGCAAGGUAUGCGGACAAGGCCUGAAAUUUCCAACAAUGCGCACCAACUUCUAUUGAGCAACAGCGCAUAGGCUAAUUUUGCCGUCUCCCGCUCGGUUGUUGCCCAUGGUACUCCUGGACGCUGACAUUUUGUCCUAUGAGCGUCAGAAGACUGUUACAACGUGUGUGGUAGCUUUGAUGCUCUCCUCUUUCAUGACCUUCCAUCCAAACACUCACUAAUAUACUAAUGCGCCCGGACAUUAACACUGCACUCAUCUUUCACCUCUGUUGCGAACAUAGAAGCCAACCUAUCAAUAGGUUGAUAUUAUUACCAAGGCGGUUAUCGGCAGAUUUCGAAUCCUUGAAAAAACCCGUCCAUGCAUUCCACAAUGUUUGGUUUUUUCAUGUUGGCCCCAUUGACAAAACACCUUUCAAAAUGCUCUUGUCACGGCUCUAACUGGUAUGUUAUUUAUCCAUCUCCCUGCGUCUUCAUUAGAACAGUCUAAUUUCAUCACGUAAUAUUGAAAUGGACGGAUUUGAGUUAAAGCAUACCAAGCAUUCACCACCUUCUUUGCGAAGAUUCUUAUCUUUUUAUAGCAGCAUGAGUUUUGAUGCAAUGUGUCUGAUACAAGUAGACAUGUGAUAGAAGGAGUAUCGUGCCAAUCCAGUUGUCAUGGUUUUGUAGCCACUCUCNNNNNNNNNNNNNNNNNNNNNNNNNNNNNNNNNNNNNNNNNNNNNNNNNNNNNNNNNNNNNNNNNNNNNNNNNNNNNNNNNNNNNNNNNNNNNNNNNNNNNNNNNNNNNNNNNNNNNNNNNNNNNNNNNNNNNNNNNNNNNNNNNNNNNNNNNNNNNNNNNUAUCAGAACAGAGAUGGAUUCCACAGAUAAAAUGAUAAGAUUAUGUAGUAUCUGUCGUCAACCAGGACACAACAAAAACAACUGUCCCAAUCAAGGAGCAUCAUCUAGGUCUUAAGCUUUUUGUAACAUUGUAUUUCUGUAACAUUCAAUCAUUAUAUAUCAUUAAGUUCUUGUUACAACGAGUUUCACAACAAACAUCAGUACAAAACAUCUGAAAACAUAAAUAAUUCUAACUGAUUACAACAAUCAAAUUAAUGUCGUCUCGAUCGAACAUCAUUUCCCUAGCAUCCUUAUCAGUCUUCAUUCGCACCCAACCAAAGAUACUGUCAAGUCUCUCAAUACUUAUGAUUUUUUCCCCUUUUGGUAUUUUCCCAUCUAACCAUCGAACCAGCUCCCUCUUCAGUUGAUCGAACGUGGUGAUGUUCCAAAACAACAUCAGCAUUUAAGGUUUGUCUCUCGCAUAAAUCACCUUACCGUAUCAGCGACGAACACCAAACAUGAUAGCCAAAUGAUUAUAUGAGCUGUGUAACAAUUGGUCACACAACGCAUCUAUUUAUAAGACAAAAUAGCCAUUUUAUGAGGGAGUCGCCAAUUGAAUUGGCGACUCCUCUUAAAACCUACACAUAGGCGCCAAUUGGAUUGGAUAGGGCACCUGCCCUAGCCAAUCUAAUUGGCGCCUCCAUUCAAGUUUUAAGAAGAGUCGCCAUAUGAACAACUUUCAUGUUCAUCAAAAAUCCAUUUGAAACUUGGAAGGUCAUCAUUCAUUUCAAAACAUUAUAGGUCAUUUUGACUGAAACCCUAAUUUUGGGUCAACUUCCCAAGGACCUAACUCACUCAUUUUUUAUUCUUUUGAGGUGGGACCAAGUGCAUUGGAAAGUUUGAGAUGUCUAAUUCAAUUGUUAUGUUGGACAAAAUUUCAUAAUUCUAAAAUAAACACAUGUGAUAAUACAAAACAUUAUAGGUCAGAUAACAGUUGAAAUGUGAAAAAGUCCAACUUCAAGUGCCCAUAACUUUCUCAUAAAAAUUCCAAAUGAUGCAAAAUUUAUGUCCAAAUUCAUUGUCAUGAAAAGAUAUACAACUUUAUUGUUGGAGGUUUUGUCAUUUGAGGCUUUUAUGAAGGAGUCGCCAAUUGAAUUGGAGACUCCUCUUAAAACCUACACAUAGGCGCCAAUUGGAUUGGCGCCUCCAUUCAAGUUUUAAGAGGAGUCUAAAAGUGGGGUAUUUUAGGAUUUUUUUUGAAACCAGGGGUAUUUUGGGAAUUUCCUUGAAAAACUGGGUUAUUUCGGUAAAAAAACCUAAAUCAUAUGAUAAAGUUUUGCAUAGUUUCCUAAGUAGUAUUAAAAUUAGUCGGUUGUUAUUACUAAUUUUUUAGCUGAGUGUAUUAUUUACAUGAUUAAUAAUUUUUGCGGAUAAUAUAAAAGUUAGUUGAUGUUAUUGAUUACAUUUUUCACAAAUUAUAAAAGGUGUUCUUGAGAAAGUCAGAUUCAAGUGGAAAUA